rnacentral:rRNA from 1 species
AUGAGGACGAAGUGACUGACACCACGCUUCCAGGAAAAGCCACUAAGCUUCAGCUUAAGAAAAACCGUACCGCAAACCGACACAGGUAGGCAGGGUGAGAAUCCCAAGGCGCUUGAGAGAACUCGGGUGAAGGAACUAGGCAAAAUGGCACCGUAACUUCGGGAGAAGGUGCGCCCUUUGGUGUGGUCACGUGCGUGACUGAGCAUCGAAGGGUCGCAGUAACCUGGCCGCUGCGACUGUUUAUCAAAAACACAGCACUCUGCAAACACGAAAGUGGACGUAUAGGGUGUGACGCCUGCCCGGUGCUGGAAGGUUAAUUGAUGGGGUCAGCCGCAAGGCGAAGCUCUUGAUCGAAGCCCCAGUAAACGGCGGCCGUAACGAUAACGGUCCUAAGGUAGCGAAAUUCCUUGUCGGGUAAGUUCCGACCUGCACGAAUGGCGUAACGACAGCGGCGCUGUCUCCACCCGAGACUCAGUGAAAUUGAAAUCGCUGUGAAGAUGCAGCGUUCCCGCGGCAAGACGGAAAGACCCCGUGAACCUUUACUAUAGCUUUACACUGAACGUUGAGUUCUUCUGUGUAGGAUAGGUGGGAGGCUAUGAAACCAGGACGCUAGUUCUGGUGGAGCCAUCCUUGAAAUACCACCCUGUAGUGCUUGACGUUCUAACCUAGGCCCGUAAUCCGGGUCAGGGACCGUGUAUGGUGGGUAGUUUGACUGGGGCGGUCUCCUCCCAAAGAGUAACGGAGGAGCACGAAGGUACGCUCAGCGCGGUCGGACAUCGCGCACUGUGUGCAAAGGCAUAAGCGUGCUUGACUGCGAGAUCGACGGAUCAAGCAGGUACGAAAGUAGGUCUUAGUGAUCCGGUGGUUCUGUAUGGAAGGGCCAUCGCUCAACGGAUAAAAGGUACUCCGCGGAUAACAGGCUGAUACCGCCCAAGAGUUCAUAUCGACGGCGGUGUUUGGCACCUCGAUGUCGGCUCAUCACAUCCUGGGGCUGUAGCCGGUCCCAAGGGUAUGGCUGUUCGCCAUUUAAAGUGGUACGCGAGCUGGGUUCAGAACGUCGUGAGACAGUUCGGUCCCUAUCUGUCGUGGGCGUUGGAGAUUUGAGGGGGGCUGCUCCUAGUACGAGAGGACCGGAGUGGACGUUCCGCUGGUGUUCGGGUUGUCAUGCCCAUGGCAUUGCCCGGUAGCUACGAACGGAAGUGAUAACCGCUGAAAGCAUCUAAGCGGGAAGCACGCCCCAAGAUGAGAUCUCCCGAGAGCUUGACUCUCCUAAAGGCACCAUCAAGACUAGGUGGUUGAUAGGUCAGGUGUGGAAGCGCAGCAAUGCGUUGAGCUAACUGAUACUAAUGAGCCGUGAGGCUUGACCA